rnacentral:rRNA from 1 species
GGCUCAGGAUGAACGCUGGCGGCGUGCCUAACACAUGCAAGUCGAACGGUGGUAGUAAUAUCACAGUGGCGCACGGGUGAGUAACACGUAGCUAAUCUGCCCCUGGGUGUGGGAUAACGUUCCGAAAGGAAUGCUAAUACCGCAUAAGCUCACGCGAAGUAGAAGCGAGUGAGAAAAGGCGCAAGUCGCCGAGGGAGGAGGCUGCGGCCCAUCAGGUAGUUGGUAGGGUAAAGGCCUACCAAGCCGACGACGGGUAGGGGGUCUGAGAGGAUGAUCCCCCACACUGGGACUGAGACACGGCCCAGACUCCUACGGGAGGCAGCAGUGAGGGAUAUUGGUCAAUGGGCGAAAGCCUGAACCAGCGACGCCGCGUGGGUGAUGAAGGCCUUCGGGUCGUAAAGCCCUUUUGGGGGUGACGAGAACAAGGACGGUAGCCCCAGAAUAAGUCUCGGCUAACUACGUGCCAGCAGCCGCGGUAAAACGUAGGAGGCAAGCGUUAUCCGGAGUUACUGGGCGUAAAGCGCGUGUAGGCGGCUUGGUAAGUGGGUCGUGAAAGCACCCGGCUAAACUGGGUGAGGACGAUCGAGACUGCCAGGCUAGAGGGUGGUAGAGGGACAGGGAAUUCCGGGUGUAGCGGUGAAAUGUGUAGAGAUCCGGAGGAACACCAGUGGCGAAGGCGCUGUCCUGGGCCACCUCUGACGCUGAUACGCGAAGGCGUGGGGAGCGAACGGGAUUAGAGACCCCGGUAGUCCACGCGGUAAACGAUGCAGACUGGGUGUUCACUUACCUAACGGUAAGGGAGUGCCGAAGCUAACGCGGUAAGUCUGCCGCCUGGGGAGU